rnacentral:rRNA from 1 species
GUGUCAGCAGCCGCGGUAAUACGUAGGGAGCAAGCGUUGUCCGGAAUCAUUGGGCGUAAAGAGCGCGUAGGUGGCUGUAUAAGUCCGUUGUGAAAGUCAAAGGCUCAACCUUUGAAAGCCGAUGGAUACUGUAGAGCUAGAGUACGGAAGAGGCGAGUGGAAUUCCUGGUGUAGCGGUGGAAUGCGCAGAUAUCAGGAGGAACACCAAUAGCGAAGGCAGCUCGCUGGGACGUUACUGACACUGAGGCGCGAAAGCGUGGGGAGCGAACAGGAUUAGAUACCCGUGUAGUCC